UAAGCUUUUUUUUGUUGUUCCUACUCUGUUUGCAAUUAUCCAUUGCAUUGAUGCUGAAGUUUUUUUUUUUCUUUUUUCCCCUUGUUUGGGUGAUUUCGUCUUCGCUUCGUAUACCUAGUGGUUAAUUGGUUCUCCCCUGGUUAUUUCGUUGAAGGUAUACUUGUGGCCAGAAGAAGAUUGUGUACUCUGGCUCAUGGUGAAAGCGUAGAACCGUUGGGUCAUUUCUUAAAGAAGGAGUGAAAAAAGAGGACAAACCUGGGAGUUCUGUAUUGGUGUUUGCAAGGGACAUCAACUGCUCGUGAGUCCUAAACCAAAAAAAAAACUGAUGCGCUCGUCAACCUCAUCUAAAACAGUGGAAGGUGUGAAGCGUAUCGAGAAAGAGGAAACAAUGAGCUUAAAACGGGCGUUGCUUUUUGUAUAAUGAUGGCUUAAAUGAUUAAAAUGUACAUUAGUUGUUACAUGCGCUUGGAAUCGAAGCAAUCUAUUAUUAUUACUAAAUGAGCACCCGCGCUACGCUGCGGGUUUUUUCUA